AUUGAACGCUAGCGGGAUGCUUUACACAUGCAAGUCGAACGCGUGGCGGACGGGUGAGUAAUAUAUCGGAACGUGCCCAGUAGCGGGGGAUAACUACUCGAAAGAGUGGCUAAUACCGUAUACUAUUGGAGCCGCCGAUAUAGGAUUAGCUAGUGGGUGGGGUAAGGGCUCACCAAGGACACGAUCCGUAGCUGGUUUGAGAGGACGACCAGCCACACUGGGACUGAGACACGGCCCAGACUCCUACGGGAGGCAGCAGUGGGGAAUUUUGGACAAUGGGGGCAACCCUGAUCCAGCCAUCCCGCGUGUAUGAGAAGGCCUUCGGGUUGUAAAGUACUUUUAGCAGGGAAGCGGUAUCUGCAGAAUAAGCACCGGCUAACUACGUGCCAGCAGCCGCGGUAAUAC
rnacentral:rRNA from 1 species